GCCGUCGUAGUACAAUGGUAGUACAUUGCUUUCCUAAGGCAAAGGUUGUGGGUUCGAGCCCCAUCGUCGGUU